GCUGACAUAGUAUAACGGUUCAAUUAUUUCGGUUUCGUAAUCCGAAGAUAUCAGUUCAAUUCUGAUUGUCAGCUC
rnacentral:tRNA from 1 species